rnacentral:rRNA from 1 species
UACGGGGGGAGCAAGCGUUGUUCGGAUUUACUGGGCGUAAAGGGCGCGUAGGCGGCCACCGCAAGUCGGUUGUGAAAUCUCUGGGCUUAACCCAGAAAGGUCAACCGAUACUGCGGGGCUAGAGUGCAGAAGGGGCAACUGGAAUUCUCGGUGUAGCGGUGAAAUGCGUAGAUAUCGAGAGGAACACCUGCGGCGAAGGCGGGUUGCUGGGCUGACACUGACGCUCAUGCACGAAAGCGUGGGGAGCAAACAGG